GACGAACGCUGGCGGCGUGCUUAACACAUGCAAGUCGAACGGAAAGGCCCUGCUUUUGUGGGGUGCUCGAGUGGCGAACGGGUGAGUAACACGUGAGUAACCUGCCCCUGACUUUGGGAUAACUUCAGGAAACUGGGGCUAAUACCGGAUAGGAGCUCCUGCUGCAUGGUGGGGGUUGGAAAGUUUCGGCGGUUGGGGAUGGACUCGCGGCUUAUCAGCUUGUUUGUGGGGUAGUGGCUUACCAAGGCUUUGACGGGUAGCCGGCCUGAGAGGGUGACCGGCGACAUUGGGACUGAGAUACGGCCCAGACUCCUACGGGAGGCAGCAGUGGGGAGUAUUGCACAAUGGGCGGAAGCCUGAUGCAGCAACGCCGCGUGCGGGAUGACGGCCUUCGGGUUGUGAACCGCUUUCGCCUGUGACGAAGCGUGAGUGACGGUAAUGGGUAAAGAAGCACCGGCUAACUACGUG
rnacentral:rRNA from 1 species